rnacentral:lncRNA from 1 species
GGAAUAGUACCGUUUUGGUUCCCUCCUCUUGUUUCCAUUGGUUUUGAUCCUCUUGCCUGAUGAGGAGGCCAUCCCUGCAUCAAAUGCAAUUCACAAAACCAAAAGAAAUCUCAUUAAGCGUUAGUAUGUCACAUAACCUCAUCCAAACAUAUUGCCUAUCAUCGUUGAGGGCAAAACAAGAGCCCCUAGCACCACGUGC